GGCUGCAGGGGCAUGUUCUAUACACCAAAACUGCUUCAUUAAGCUAAAGUUGUUCAGGUGACUAUAGUGUCCCUUUAAGAGCGAUCAUGUAAGAGGCAGGCUGUGUUGCCUAUAAUACACAAGGCACAGGAGUUAAUAAAAGGGCAGGAUAGCUAGAGGCAAAAACAGUGUAGAUAAUAAGAAGCCACGAUACAGAAAAAUAAAAAAUAAGUAGAACCAGUAGGAUAGGCUUGAAACAAGCCAACGUCCCCGCUUCUGCCAAUGCCACAAUUUUGUUGUAGUUGGGAGUCAGUUCCACUGUCAGUCACAAGGUGCCUGGUGAGUCCGCUUUCCUGCCACAGGUGGGGAUCCCCCAGGCAGCAGGGGUCAGAAUGACAGCUGUACUGCAUCUCCACUACCCAUGCUGGUAAGACUCCCCGUGCUUGCGGGUAGCUGGUGGGUCUGUGGACCGUCUUGGUUCGUGGCCCAGAAGAGGGGAGGGGGUGCCAGAACACUGCUGGAGACAUUUGUGGGCUCAGCCGAUGUGGGUAUGUGGCGCUUGUGGCGGGACUCAAUUCGGGUCCAUAAGUCCUCAAAGGCCGCAUGGAAUUUGGCUUCUCAAUGUGACUGCGGUUCAGCCGUAGCAGCAGCCAUCUUAGGUGAGCCAUGAGGAUCUAGUGACAAACUUUUGCCUGUAAGGUGUAGUUUUGUUCUCUGGUGGGGACCGGGAUAUCCCCCACCGGUCGAAGGGGGAGGUGAGUAACAAGGCUGUACAGAGGGUUUAGUGGGUAGCAUUGGAGAUAGUCUGCCCCUCCCAGUUGUUGGUAGCACUAGGCCACAGAUUCCAAAAGGGGUACAGGUGUUUU